rnacentral:rRNA from 1 species
GUAACGCGUAUCCAACCUACCCAAUACUCAGGCAUAACCCGUUGAAAGACGGACUAAUUCCUGAUGGUAUGUAUUUUUCUCAUGAAUUAUACAUUAAAGAAUUUCGGUAUUGGAUGGGGAUGCGUCUGAUUAGUUUGUUGGUGAGGUAACGGCUCACCAAGACUUCGAUCAGUAGGGGUUCUGAGAGGAAGGUCCCCCACAUUGGAACUGAGACACGGUCCAAACUCCUACGGGAGGCAGCAGUGAGGAAUAUUGGUCAAUGGAUGGAAAUCUGAACCAGCCAAGUAGCGUGCAGGAUGACGGCCCUAUGGGUUGUAAACUGCUUUUAUGUGAGAAUAAAGUUAGGUAUGUAUACUUAUUUGCAUGUAUCACAUGAAUAAGGACCGGCUAAUUCCGUGCCAGCAGCCGCGGUAAUACGGAAGGUCCAGGCGUUAUCCGGAUUUAUUGGGUUUAAAGGGUGCGUAGGCCGUUUGAUAAGCGUGCUGUGAAAUAUAGUGGCUCAACCUCUAUCGUGCAGCGCGAACUGUCGAACUUGAGUGCGUAGUAGGUAGGCGGAAUUCGUGGUGUAGCGGUGAAAUGCUUAGAUAUCACGAAGAACUCCGAUUGCGAAGGCAGCUUACCGUAACGUUACUGACGCUUAAGCACGAAGGUGCGGGUAUCGAACAGGAUUAGAUACCCUGGUAGUCCGCACAGUAAACGAUGGAUGCUC